GUGGCCGCGGCGCGGGGGGCGGGCCCGUGGCGCCGCGCCGGAGGAGGAAGUGGUGCGGUUGUUUCUCCCUCUGCGCCCGCCGCUGGCUCCCGGGGCGCGGAGUGGGGCCACAGUCGCCGCCGCUGCGUCGCGCUCUCCAGCUGUUACCCUUCAUGUGCCCGGGCUCCGUCGCUCCCCUUCCUCAGGCCGCCGCUUACCCCGGGGUCUAUGGAAGUAAUGGAAGGACCCCUCAACCUGGCUCAUCAACAGAGCAGACGAGCAGAUCGUUUAUUAGCUGCAGGGAAAUACGAAGAGGCUAUUUCUUGUCACAAAAAGGCUGCAGCGUAUCUUUCUGAAGCUAUGAAGCUGACACAGUCUGAGCAGGCUCAUUUAUCACUGGAAUUGCAAAGGGAUAGCCACAUGAAACAGCUCCUCCUCAUCCAGGAGAGAUGGAAGAGGGCAAAGCGGGAGGAAAGAUUGAAAGCCCAGCAGAGCACAGAGAAGGACGCCGCCGCCCAGCUUCAGGCAUCUCACAGACCCUCUGCUGAGGACGCAGACAGCCAGAGCCCCCUACUCUCUCAGAAUUAUAGCCCUUCCACAGAGAAACACUUGCCUGAAAUUCAGGGGGUCUUUGACAGGGAUCCAGACACACUACUAUUUUUACUUCAGCAGAAGAGCGAGCCAACAGAGCUGUGCAUUGGAAGCAAAGCCCCAAAAGAUGACAAAACAAUUAUAGAGGAGCAGGCAACCAAAAUUGCAGAUUUGAAGAGGCAUGUGGAAUUCCUCGUGGCUGAGAAUGAAAGAUUAAGGAGAGAAAAUAAACAGCUAAAGGCUGAAAAGGCCAGACUUCUAAAAGGCCCAAUAGAAAAGGAGCUUGAUGUAGAUGCUGAUUUUGUAGAAAAGUCAGAGUUAUGGAGCUUGCCACCACACGCAGAAACUGCUACAGCCUCUUCAACCUGGCAGAGGUUUGCAUCAAAUACUGGGAAAGCCAAGGAUAUUCCAAUACCCAAUCUUCCUCCCUUGGAUUUUCCAUCUCCAGAACUUCCCCUCAUGGAACUCUCUGAAGAUAUUCUGAAAGGACUUAUGAAUAAUUAAAAUGGAAGGCCAUAGAAGAGGUGAAAAAGAGGAAAUAAUACGGUAAUACAGUUAAUCCAGCAAAAAAAAAAAAAAAAAGGAAAACCACAUGCAAGGGUGUCCCGGAGAUGCUGCAUCCAGCAUCCUGCAGAGAAGAGGCAUUGACAAGACUCGUAAACAGUCACUGUGAAGUAUGUCGCGCAUCGGAUUUACUGACUCGAGCUAAUGAUUCCAGACUUGGCAGAUACUAAACUCUUGGAGGUUCACUUUCUCCUGAUACAAACCAAAUGGCUACCUGGAAUAAUUUUUUUCAAGCAACAAUUAUUUUUCUUCAGGGUUAAAAUGUAUAAAAUGUAGCCUAAUUGGAGACCUCUGCCAGAGCAAGUGGCUUGACUGUUUUAAGAAUUUGUCUAUUUUGUUCCAGUUGGAAGCCUGUCCUUCUAAGAGUCACCGCAGACCAACAGUGCCAUCUAGUGGACGAUAACCCUCCUUCCACCGCUUCACAAUAUCUCAGUCACAAGCUGCAACCCUUCGGACGCCCACUUCCAAAGCAAACCUCCAGUCUUCUUCAAGGUUGUUGGUUCCUGUGGAGGAUGAACAUAGUGGAUGCCUCUCACAUUUUCAGCACUGCUGUGCAGUCUCAUUGGAUCUUCAUUAUGGGUCUGUAGAACAGAUGCUCUAUUUCACAGAGCAGGAAACUAUGGAUAAGCAGUUCAGCGCCUGUUCCAAGAUAAAUCAGCCAAUAAAUGGCAAGUCAAGAGGAACCCAGCUCCUGUGAUAUCUUGUCUAACAGAUGCUUUACAAUCCUACAUGAACUCAGUCAUACCAGCAUACACAGGCUCCAAAUGCCCUGUCUCAUCUUACAUUCAUCUGAACAUGCUGUGGGGGUUAAGUCCUUCUAAAGUUCUAGCAUGUAACUUUUAGCAUAUGGAACUAUUUUUUAUUUUUAUUUAUUUAUUUAUUUUUUUGUGUGGUAUGCGGGCCUCCCUCUGCUGUGGCCUCUCCCGUUGCGGAGCACAGGCUCCGGACGCGCAGGCCCAGCGGCCAUGGCUCACGGGCCCAGCCGCUCCGCGGCAUGUGGGAUCUUCCCGGACCGGGGCACAAACCCGCGUCCCCUGCAUCGGCAGGCGGACUCUCAACCACUGCGCCACCAGGGAAGCCCCUGGAACUAUUUUUUAAAAAGUAAUUUCUCUUCACUGAUAUUCUAAUUGCAUUCAUACAUCAUUUGCCUGGUUUUCUUUCUUUUUUCCCAUAGUCCUUUAGCCCUUUGAGCAUAUUUAAUUAAGAUAACUGACUUAGAAGUCUAUCUAGUAAGUCUGAUGUCUGGCCUUCCUCAGGGACAGUUUCUGUUGAGGUAUUUUUUCCCUAUGAAUGGGCCCUACUUUCCUGUUUCUGUGUAUGCUUUGUGACUUUUUGUUGAAUACUAGACAUCUAAACAUUAUAAUGUGGUAACUAGAAUCAGGUUCUCCCCUGCCUCAGAGUCUGCUGCUGUUGACUGAUAGGGAUUGUAGGCAUCCAUUUGUUUUGUGACCUUUCCAAACUAAUUUUGCAAAGACUGUUCCUCUUCUGGCGUGCUCACUGAUGUCUCUGUUCGGUUAUCUCAUCUCAGGUGGUCAGCCAGUGACCUGUCAGAGAUUUCCUUGAAGGCCAAAACUCAGAUGUCCUCUUCUUCAUUAAGCAGUCCCCUGGUCGAUGUAAGUUCUGAAUUAGAUUCCAGAGCUCUGAAAAAGUUGAUUCUUACGGUUGUUUUAAAAUCACUUUUAGAACAGUGACUUU